rnacentral:rRNA from 1 species
UACAGAGGGUGCGAGCGUUAACCGGAAUUACUGGGCGUAAGGCGCGCGUAGGCGGCUUGUUAAGUCGGAUGUGAAAUCCCCGGGCUCAACCUGGGCACUGCAUUCGAUACUGGCAAGCUAGAGUAUGGGAGAGGAAGGUAGAAUUCCAGGUGUAGCGGUGAAAUGCGUAGAGAUCUGGAGGAAUACCGAUGGCGAAGGCAGCCUUCUGGCCUAAUACUGACGCUGAGGUGCGAAAGCAUGGGGAGCAAACAGG